UACAACUUUCAGCAACGGAUCUCUUGGCUCUCGCAUCGAUGAAGGGACGCAGCGAAUCGCGAUAGAGUAAUGUGAAUUGCAGAUUUCCGUGGAAUCAUCGAUUCUUUGAACGCACCUUGCGCUCCUUGGUAUUCCGAGGAGCAUGCCUGUUUGAGUGUCAUCGAAA
rnacentral:rRNA from 1 species